GUGGUAGUAGUUUCAUGGUUGCAUCAAUUAGACAUUUAAUGUGACAUUAAGGCUGCCACAGAUAUAACGUGGUUCCUGCCGACAGGACCUGUCAAGAUAUUGGGCUCCUGUGCGAUGGCACCAAACAGA